AACGAACGCUGGCGGCAGGCUUAACACAUGCAAGUCGAGCGCCCCGCAAGGGGAGCGGCAGACGGGUGAGUAACGCGUGGGAAACUACCCUUUGGUACGGAAUAACACAGAGAAAUUUGUGCUAAUACCGUAUGUGCCCUUCGGGGGAAAGAUUUAUCGCCAUAGGAUGUGCCCGCGUAGGAUUAGCUAGUUGGUGUGGUAAUGGCGCACCAAGGCGACGAUCCUUAGCUGGUCUGAGAGGAUGACCAGCCACACUGGGACUGAGACACGGCCCAGACUCCUACGGGAGGCAGCAGUGGGGAAUAUUGGACAAUGGGCGCAAGCCUGAUCCAGCCAUGCCGCGUGAGUGAUGAAGGCCUUAGGGUUGUAAAGCUCUUUCACCCACGACGAUAAUGACGGUAGUGGGAGAAGAAGCCCCGGCUAACUUCGUGCCAGCAGCCGCCGUAAAAC
rnacentral:rRNA from 1 species